AUUGAACGCUGGCGGCAUGCCUUACACAUGCAAGUUGUACGAAGAUGUAUAAUUUUUAUACAAACUUAGUAGCGGACGGGUGAGUAAUACAUAAGAACCUACCUUUUGGUAUGGGAUAACUAUUGGAAACGAUAGCUAAUACCAUAUAUUGCUGAGAAGUGAAACUAUUAAGGGCCAAGAGAUGGGCUUAUGCCUGAUUAGCUAGUUGGUAUGAUAAUAGCAUACCAAGGCAAAGAUCAGUAGCUGUUCUGAGAGGAUGAUCAGCCACACUGGGACUGAGACACGGCCCAGACUCCUACGGGAGGCAGCAGUGAGGAAUUUUCCGCAAUGGGCGAAAGCCUGACGGAGCAAUGCCGCGUGAAGGAAGACAGCUUACGGGUUGUAAACUUCUUUUCUCAGAAAAGAAAAAAAUGACGGUAUCUGAGGAAUAAGCAUCGGCUAACUCUGUGCCAGCCGCCGCGGUAAGAC
rnacentral:rRNA from 1 species